UUUGUUUCUUUUAUAUAAAAAAGGGCUAACCAAGGAAUUCAAACGUUUAAUAAAAUAUUAUGGUACUGGAAGAUUAAAAACUCGAUAAGCAAUUACUGUUCCAGCCACCACAAAAAUCUAGGAGCUAAGAACUGAAAAAUUUUACUAUCUUCGAUCAAUUUCUGCAAAUUUGGACGAUAAAGAAGCCCAGGGAAAAUCAACCCAUAUGCAGAAUCGUCAAGAAUCGCAAGAAAAAACAAUCAAAAUAAAAGAAACAACAAGAGGGAUGAAGAAGGCAAAAACCCCUUCACAGAAAUCGAAGGGGGAAUGAAAUUAACAACCCAAACAAAAGAAAUAGAGAACAAGUAGAAAUGGG
rnacentral:misc_RNA from 1 species